rnacentral:rRNA from 1 species
UAGGGAAUCUUCGGCAAUGGACGGAAGUCUGACCGAGCAACGCCGCGGGAGUGAAGAAGGUUUUCGGAUCGUAAAGCUCUGUUGUUAGAGAAGAACGUUGGUAGGAGUGGAAAAUCUACCAAGUGACGGUAACUAACCAGAAAGGGACGGCUAACUACGUGCCAGCAACCGCGGUAAUACGUAGGUCCCGAGCGUUGUCCGGAAUUAUUGGGCGUAAAGCGAACGCAGGCGGUACUUUAAGUCUGAAGUUAAAGGCAGUGGCUUAACCAUUGUACGCUUUGGAAACUGGAGGAAUUUGGUGCAGAAGGGGAGGGUGGAAAUCCAUGUGUAGCGGUGAAAUGCGUAGUUAUAUGGAGGAACACCGGUGGCGAAAGCGGCUCUCUGGUCUGUAACUGACGCUGAGGCUCGAAAGCGUGGGGAGCAAACAGG